rnacentral:rRNA from 1 species
AUUGAACGCUGGCGGCAGGCUUAACACAUGCAAGUCGAGCGGGGUGAUGGUGCUUGCACUAUCACUUAGCGGCGGACGGGUGAGUAAUGCCUAGGAAUCUGCCUAUUAGUGGGGGACAACAUCUCGAAAGGGAUGCUAAUACCGCAUACGUCCUACGGGAGAAAGCAGGGGAUCACUUGUGACCUUGCGCUAAUAGAUGAGCCUAAGUCGGAUUAGCUAGUUGGUGGGGUAAAGGCCUACCAAGGCGACGAUCUGUAGCGGGUCGGAGAGGAUGAUCCGCCACACUGGGACUGCGACACGGCCCAGACUCCUACGGGAGGCAGCAGUGGGGAAUAUUGGACAAUGGGGGGAACCCUGAUCCAGCCAUGCCGCGUGUGUGAAGAAGGCCUUAUGGUUGUAAAGCACUUUAGGCGAGGAGGAGGCUCUUUUGGUUAAUACCCAAGAUGAGUGGACGUUACUCGCAGAAUAAGCACCGGCUAACUCUGUGCCAGCAGCCGCCGUAAAAC